GACGAACGCUGGCGGCGUGCUUAACACAUGCAAGUCGAGCGAGCAGAUUCCCUUCGGGGAUGAAGCUAGCGGCGGACGGGUGAGUAACACGUGGGCAACCUGCCUUAUAGAGGGGGAUAGCCUUCCGAAAGGAAGAUUAAUACCGCAUAACAUCAGAUUAUCGCAUGGUAGACUGAUCAAAGGAGCAAUCCGCUAUAAGAUGGGCCCGCGUCGCAUUAGCUAGUUGGUGAGGUAACGGCUCACCAAGGCGACGAUGCGUAGCCGACCUGAGAGGGUGAUCGGACACAUUGGGACUGAGACACGGCCCAGACUCCUACGGGAGGCAGCAGUGGGGAAUAUUGCACAAUGGGGGAAACCCUGAUGCAGCAACGCCGCGUGAGUGAUGAAGGCCUUCGGGUUGUAAAGCUCUUUGAUCAGGGACGAUAAUGACGGUACCUGAAGAACAAGCCACGGCUAACUACGUGCCAGCCGCCGCCGUAACAC
rnacentral:rRNA from 1 species